AUGGGUCUAUCAGCAUCAGGCGCCAUGCAGUGGUGGGAUGAGUGGCAGCUGCACGUCCUCGUGCUGGGCAGCCUCUUCGUCCAGUACCUGCUCUUCUUCUCCUCCGUGGUGCGUAGGCGUGCCCUCCCGUCUUGGUUCAGGCUGUUAUUCUGGCUCGCCUACCUAGACGGCGACGCUCUCGCGAUAUACGCCCUGGCCACCCUCUUCAACCGCCACAAGCAGCAGGAGCAGCUCGCCGCCGGCCUGGAGGUGUUGUGGGCGCCCGUCCUCCUCAUCCACCUCGGGGGGCAGCACCUGAUGACCGCCUACAGCAUCGAAGACAACGAGCUAUGGAGGCGACAAGCCGUCACCAUGGUGUCACAGGUCGUGGUCGCCCUCUACGUCUUUUGCAAGUCAUGGCCUGGCGGGCCAAAGAGGUUGCUGCAGGCCGCAAUCUUGUUGUUCGUCGUCGGGAUUUUUAGAUCCAUCCAGAAGCCAUUAGCUAUGAAGAACGCCAGUAUCAGUAACAUAGUGGCUUCUUUGUCACUAUCCCGGAGUGAGCAGAACGAACUCGCGUUGUUCUGCGGAACAAUAUGCUAUUGCUCAAUGGGCCCGCGGAAGUUAUACAUAACUAAAGAAGGAGAAAGAGCGGAACAGAAGGACAUCUCGCUUGAAGAAUUUGUACAAAAAGCAACCAGUUUGCCAGAGUUGGCCAGUGAUCAAGGCAAAGCUGAAGGCAUGGCAUCACGUGAUUCAUGGGAGGUAAAUGUGUACCGGCCGCUGGUAGACAUAUCAGCUCUAUACUCUGACCGGAUAAAAAACCUACAGCUCUUUAUGGCCCUUGAUUACCAACAUGCCAAUAGUAUGUCGAGAGAACAGCUUACCAAGUUGUUUUCGUUCCUCUACACAAAACUAGCUAACAUAGUCUGUUGCUUCAUCUGCUGUCAUUUUUGGCUUCCAUUCUUGAUCUUAGCUUCUGUCAUCCUCUUCUCCACAUACCACAAAUAUUAUGACUACAACGCAACAGAUGUCAAGGUAACUUACAUCUUGUUCUGGUCGACCGCGUUGCUGGAUUUUCUAUUCCUCUUUGUCAGCGUUUCCAUCAUGGAGACAGAAACAGAUAUGGUUUCGCAACAUAACCUCUUGUCGUUCUAUGCUCGUAAGAAGCGACCCACUCUUCUUAUGAAGCUUGCCACACUUGCAUGCUGCAAAGGCUAUGUUAACAUGCAUUGUUAUAUAGAACAUGCACCAGCAACAUCCUCACUCCAAGUUGUGGAGUUGGUUCAUGGAUAUGUUAUGGAUGGUUGGAGAAGGUACAUCAAAGAUGCUGCUAGCUACAAGAGAUUCAACCUCCACAGGGGGCAGUGGGCUCUAAGGCGUCAACGUCAUCUUGGCUGGAGCUUGAAUAUGUCAUUUGAUAGAAGUGUCCUUCUCUGGCACAUCGCCACAGACAUCUGCUUUCACCACCAGAGCACAACCCCUCGCGGCCAAGAGUGCGCCGCUCGAAGCAGGGUUAUAUCCAACUACAUGGCGUACCUGCUCUCCAUUCGUUCAGAAAUGCUUAUACCCGGGUCCAGGAUCGGCAUCUUCACCAUUGCAUGUGAAGAUAUCGAGCGCAUGCUAGGUGACAAUUCUGCACUGCACGACGAAAAAGGACUUGCGCAAGGAAUUAUUUGCAGGGCGCAACAACCUCCCUUGGUUGAUAACACCAGCAUAACAGGAACAGCAUGCAGGCUUGCUAAAAUGUUGAUGGAGCUAGAAGAUGAAGUGGAGAGGUGGGAGAUGGUCCAGGGGGUAUGGGUGGAGAUGUUGUGCUACUCUGCCAGCAGGGGGUAUGAGUGA
rnacentral:rRNA from 1 species